rnacentral:rRNA from 1 species
GUGGAUUAGAUACCCUGGUAGUCCACGCCCUAAACGAUGUCGACUAGGUGUUCGGUGAGGAGACUCAUUGAGUACCGCAGCUAACGCGUGAAGUCGACCGCCUGGGGAGUACGGUCGCAAGAUUAAAACUCAAAGGAAUUGACGGGGACCCGCACAAGCGGUGGAUGAUGUGGAUUAAUUCGAUGCAACGCGAAAAACCUUACCUACCCUUGACAUGUACGGAACCCUGCUGAGAGGUGGGGGUGCUCGAAAGAGAGCCGUAACACAGGUGCUGCACGGUCGUCGACAACU